GGGCCUCAUUAUUUUUUCGCUCCAGCGGAAAGCAGAGCAAUCUGCACAUCCUGCAAUCGCAUAUGCUUAUCUACGGAACGCGGCGGCCACGGCG